GACGAACGCUGGCGGCGUGCUUAACACAUGCAAGUCGAACGGACAGACCAUGCUUUUGUGCGGUGCUCGAGUGGCGAACGGGUGAGUAACACGUGAGUAUCCUGCACUUGUCUUUGGGAUAAAUUCAGGAAACUGCGGCUAAUACCGGAUAGGAGCUCCUGCUGCACGGGGUGGGAUGGAGAGUUUCGGCGGUUGGGGCUGGACUCGCGGCUUAUCAGCUUGUUGGUGGGGUAGUGGCUUACCAAGGCUUUGACGGGUAGCCGGCCUGAGAGCGUGACCGGCCACAUUGGGCCUGCGAUACGGCCCAGACUCCUACGGGAGGCAGCAGUGGGGAAUAUUGCACAAUGGGCGGAAGCCUGAUGCAGCAACGCCGCGUGCGGGAUGCCGUCCUUCGGGUUGUAAACCGCUUUCGCCUGUGACGAAGCGUGAGUGACGGUAAUGGGUAAAGAAGCACCGGCUAACUACGUG
rnacentral:rRNA from 1 species